rnacentral:rRNA from 1 species
UUAAGUUAGAAAGGGCGCACGGUGGAUGCCUUGGCACUAGGAGCCGAUGAAGGACGGGACGAACACCGAUAUGCUUCGGGGAGCUGUAAGCAAGCUUUGAUCCGGAGAUUUCCGAAUGGGGAAACCCACCACUCGUAAUGGAGUGGUAUCCAUAUCUGAAUACAUAGGAUAUGAGAAGGCAGACCCGGGGAACUGAAACAUCUAAGUACCUGGAGGAAGAGAAAGCAAAUGCGAUUCCCUGAGUAGCGGCGAGCGAAACGGGACCAGCCCAAACCAAGAGGCUUGCCUCUUGGGGUUGUAGGACACUCUGUACGGAGUUACAAAGGAACGAGGUAGAUGAAGAGGUCUGGAAAGGCCCGCCAUAGGAGGUAACAGCCCUGUAGUCAAAACUUCGUUCUCUCCUGAGUGGAUCCUGAGUACGGCGGAACACGUGAAAUUCCGUCGGAAUCCGGGAGGACCAUCUCCCAAGGCUAAAUACUCCCUAGUGACCGAUAGUGAACCAGUACCGUGAGGGAAAGGUGAAAAGCACCCCGGAAGGGGAGUGAAAGAGAUCCUGAAACCGUGUGCCUACAAGUAGUCAGAGCCCGUUAACGGGUGAUGGCGUGCCUUUUGUAGAAUGAACCGGCGAGUUACGAUCCCGUGCAAGGUUAAGCAGAAGAUGCGGAGCCGCAGCGAAAGCGAGUCUGAAUAGGGCGAAUUGAGUACGUGGUCGUAGACCCGAAACCAGGUGAUCUACCCAUGUCCAGGGUGAAGUUCAGGUAACACUGAAUGGAGGCCCGAACCCACGCACGUUGAAAAGUGCGGGGAUGAGGUGUGGGUAGGGGUGAAAUGCCAAUCGAACCUGGAGAUAGCUGGUUCUCUCCGAAAUAGCUUUAGGGCUAGCCUCAAGGUAAGAGUCUCGGAGGUAGAGCACUGAUUGGACUAGGGGCCCCUACCGGGUUACCGAAUUCAGUCAAACUCCGAAUGCCGAUGACUUAUCCUUGGGAGUCAGACUGCGAGUGAUAAGAUCCGUAGUCGAAAGGGAAACAGCCCAGACCGCCAGCUAAGGUCCCAAAGUAUACGUUAAGUGGAAAAGGAUGUGGAGUUGCUUAGACAACCAGGAUGUUGGCUUAGAAGCAGCCACCAUUUAAAGAGUGCGUAAUAGCUCACUGGUCGAGUGACUCUGCGCCGAAAAUGUACCGGGGCUAAACGUAUCACCGAAGCUGCGGACUGUUCUUCGAACAGUGGUAGGAGAGCGUUCUAAGGGCUGUGAAGCAAGACCGGAAGGACUUGUGGAGCGCUUAGAAGUGAGAAUGCCGGUAUGAGUAGCGAAAGAGGGGUGAGAAUCCCCUCCACCGAAUGCCUAAGGUUUCCUGAGGAAGGCUCGUCCGCUCAGGGUUAGUCGGGACCUAAGCCGAGGCCGAAAGGCGUAGGCGAUGGAUAACAGGUUGAUAUUCCUGUACCACCUCCUCACCAUUUGAGCAAUGGGGGGACGCAGGAGGAUAGGGUAAGCGCGGUAUUGGAUAUCCGCGUCCAAGCAGUUAGGCUGGGAAAUAGGCAAAUCCGUUUCCCGUGAAGGCUGAGCUGUGAUGGCGAGCGAAUUAUAGUAGCGAAGUUCCUGAUUCCACACUGCCAAGAAAAGCCUCUAGCGAGGUGAGAGGUGCCCGUACCGCAAACCGACACAGGUAGGCGAGGAGAGAAUCCUAAGGUGAUCGAGAGAACUCUCGUUAAGGAACUCGGCAAAAUGACCCCGUAACUUCGGGAGAAGGGGUGCUCUGUUAGGGUGCAAGCCCGAGAGAGCCGCAGUGAAUAGGCCCAGGCGACUGUUUAGCAAAAACACAGGUCUCUGCGAAGCCGUAAGGCGAAGUAUAGGGGCUGACGCCUGCCCGGUGCUGGAAGGUUAAGAGGAGCGCUUAGCGUAAGCGAAGGUGCGAAUUGAAGCCCCAGUAAACGGCGGCCGUAACUAUAACGGUCCUAAGGUAGCGAAAUUCCUUGUCGGGUAAGUUCCGACCCGCACGAAAGGCGCAACGAUCUGGGCACUGUCUCAACGAGAGACUCGGUGAAAUUAUAGUACCUGUGAAGAUGCAGGUUACCCGCGACAGGACGGAAAGACCCCGUGGAGCUUUACUGCAGCCUGAUAUUGAAUGUUGGUACAGCUUGUACAGGAUAGGUAGGAGCCUUGGAAACCGGAGCGCCAGCUUCGGUGGAGGCAUCGGUGGGAUACUACCCUGGCUGUAUUGACCUUCUAACCCGCCGCCCUUAUCGGGCGGGGAGACAGUGUCAGGUGGGCAGUUUGACUGGGGCGGUCGCCUCCUAAAAGGUAACGGAGGCGCCCAAAGGUUCCCUCAGAAUGGUUGGAAAUCAUUCGCAGAGUGUAAAGGCACAAGGGAGCUUGACUGCGAGACCUACAAGUCGAGCAGGGACGAAAGUCGGGCUUAGUGAUCCGGUGGUUCCGCAUGGAAGGGCCAUCGCUCAACGGAUAAAAGCUACCCCGGGGAUAACAGGCUUAUCUCCCCCAAGAGUCCACAUCGACGGGGAGGUUUGGCACCUCGAUGUCGGCUCAUCGCAUCCUGGGGCUGUAGUCGGUCCCAAGGGUUGGGCUGUUCGCCCAUUAAAGCGGUACGCGAGCUGGGUUCAGAACGUCGUGAGACAGUUCGGUCCCUAUCCGUCGCGGGCGCAGGAAAUUUGAGAGGAGCUGUCCUUAGUACGAGAGGACCGGGAUGGACGCACCGCUGGUGUACCAGUUGUUCUGCCAAGGGCAUCGCUGGGUAGCUAUGUGCGGACGGGAUAAGUGCUGAAAGCAUCUAAGCAUGAAGCCCCCCUCAAGAUGAGAUUUCCCAUUCCGCAAGGAAGUAAGAUCCCUGAAAGAUGAUCAGGUUGAUAGGUCUGAGGUGGAAGUGUGGCGACACAUGGAGCUGACAGAUACUAAUCGAUCGAGGACUUAACCAA